rnacentral:piRNA from 1 species
ACGCGUGUGUCCGAAGGGAGAAUGCGUG